rnacentral:tRNA from 1 species
UCCCUGGUGGCUCAGAGGUUAAAGCGUCUGCCUGCAAUGCUGAGGACCUGGGUUCGAUCCCUGGGUUAGGAA